CCAUCACUCUAACAACUUCACUAAGACUGACAGUUUUAACUAUUUACUGCCCAUACGCAACCAUUUGAGAUACGCCGUGCGCAAGAAAAAGAUUACUUUAACCAUUUAGAACAUCUGUGGAGGGUGACGCCUAAGAAGAAAAAGUCGGAAAACUGCAGCCGUCUCGUUCAGCAACAUCAAGCCCAUAUAAUUGCUCCAGCUAAAGAAAAAAACUUGUUAUGUAGAGGAGCAGUUAAAUAAGAAGAAAACGAAGGCAGGCAAUGAAACAGUCGAUCCUCCCUGUAAUGAUUGCAUCAUAUGCUGGCCAGGGACAGGCUGCUGGAGGAGGGGAAGCUGUGCAAGCAGGGGGCCAGACACUGAGGAAAGGAAAGGAAAAAGCCCAUUUUAUCUAUGCUAAUAUAGCACUUUGAUUCUGUUCUUCUGAAGACAUCCAGAAAGAAGACAUCAGUAAUCAAUAAGGAGAUGGAUUUGAUGACGAUACCUCAUGAGGCCUGUUGGCCGCUAACAUUGAUAUGGGAGAGAAUUAACCAUGCAUGUUCUUCAGACUCUCCACCAAGGUCCUGGGGGUACCGAAAUGGGGACUGUGGAUUCCAAGUAUGGAUUUUUAAUUCCUACAAUGAGAGAUAUUACGUGGUCUGGGACCAUAUCCGCUCAUACUGGAAAGUGAAAACUCCAUUUGGGCCUAUUUUAAAUUUUAUUGGACCUCUCUUUAUAGACAGAUCAGGUAGAGGAUUACAUGUACCGCCAUCACUUACCGUCACUGAAUCAGAUGCACAUGUUUUGUUGCCUGUCACAUCUUCAGCGGUGCAUAAACCAAUGUUAAAAAUUGCCCGUUUUGUUUCUAAACCUACAUAAUAUAGGGAUUAUAGGUCAUAUAAAAAUGACUGAAAAUGUGUAUAGUCAAAUAAGUCAAAUACUACUUUGUUGUUAAAGAGGACCUUUCAUGGGUUUAUGUAUUACAAACAAGUAUGCGUACCAGAUAUUGUGGCCCCUAUAGAUGCAA